AUGUGGCCAUGUGUCCUAGCGCUAGACAACUACACAAUAGCAUCGAUCUAUUCAGACCAAACUAUUAGAACACUUCAGAAAAAAUCCAUUCAGACCAAACUAAUGCCCACAGCUAAACCCGACACGACAUUCACUCCACAAAACCCCACAGCUGACCCCAACUCACCCCGACUCUCUCUCUGACUCCCUCGCUGUGCGACUCUCACUCUGACUCACUCCACAGCUGCCCCGACUCACUCCACAAUCCUAAACCCUAAAUCCACCACCUCCAAAGCGAAGCCUUCGAAGCCCUAAAUGGGAGAUUUCCCUUCGAAGCCCUAAAGGAGAUUUCUCUGUGAAUCCGUGGAUUCACAUCGGAGCAGCCUUAGACGAUUCACACAAGAGCCCUAAAAAAUUUCGUCAUCUCGAACUUCGAUUCACGCCUUUGAUUCGAUUUGUCUCGAACUUGAUCUUAAAAUUGUGCACUCUAGUCACCGGAGUUUAACAGAGACUCGGAUCUCCAUAUCCGACCAUGGAUUCCGAGCCUUUCGAGAGAGAAAAGAACGUGACUUUUCUGGGGAUGAUGUACCGGCUCCUCCCACACCAAUCCGAAAAAGCUUCAUCAUCAUCUUCUUCUUCUUCCUUUGAAGGUCCUCGUUCUACUGAGGGCCUCUCUGCCGCUUUGUCCGAUCAGUCUCGUAUUAUAGUCGCCAGACCUGUUAGAGGAGUGGUGUCCCUGUGGACAUGCUCAAAGUUCUGUGCAAUUGCCUUUGUUGCUGGGAUCAUUGUUGGCUAUACCCUGAAGCGACGCAUUAAACGCUGGGCUAACAAGCUUCUCAAGAGGAUCAAAGACGAUUGAUUGCACCUAGGUUGAGUUAAGUUAUCGCAUUCAAUAGAUUGUCGUCAAUAGAUGAGUGAUUCUCUAACAUUAGUUGUGUAAAGGGUGCAUUUUUGAGGAGUUUUCAGCUUCUGUGGUGACAAAUGCAUCUCACCUUAUCAACAGAUAUUGUUAUCCUUUUUAAACUACUAUGGUAAAGUUUUAGAGAACAGCAUAGGCUAUCCUUUUUAUCCUUUUUAAACUACUAUGAGAGAUCUUUAGUCUCUCAGUCAAUGAAGUUGCGGAUUCUUCAAUGUUGGAUUUUUCUAAUCUGAUUGAAAUCUUGUGUUUGUUUUGCAGUUUUUUGUUGGUGGAAACUGGAAGUGUGUAAGUAUUUCGGUUUGUUUGAUGAAAAAUGUUUCCUUGUUAUCAACUAGCUCUACCCUUGGGUUUUUUUCUUCAACUAGCUCUACCCUUUGGUUCAAUUUUGUAGCUUUUAUGAAUUGGGUUUUAGUCAUAAGUUCCUAAUCAUAUUCUUCUUUUUUUCUCUGUUUGCGUGUGUGGAUUUUUGUUUGGUUUUAUUGAACCUGAUUAGUUUUCUCAAGUUCUUAUUAAUCUUGAAUCGGUGAGUAUUUUCUGCUAUCGGUUUGAAGUCUCUCCAAUUUAAUUCCUUUGGUGGUUGAGUCUAUUUUAUUAUAAGCAACUUAUAGCUCCUUAUAUCACCACUUGAUUAAUGUUUAAAAUCUUUUCUCUUGAGAAUCAAUCUUUUGGAUGUCAAAAGUGUGUAGUGCUUUAUUUAGUUAUCUGCACCGCACCUUGGUAUUCCAUUAAAUGGGCUUUGUUUUUGAAUUCCUUGUUCUGUGUUAGUUGGGCAUAGUACGUAUAUAUAGUUGGGAGGUUUAAUAAUGAAUAUGUUUUCUGAAUGGUUCAUUAUCCAGGAAAAUUACUAGUUGGCAAAAGAUUGUGUUAUAUAUAGUAUGAGCACACCAGAAGAAGAACCACAGUGCCGCAUGUGUGGGUGGUAUUUUACGAGGCAGGAGAUAGAGCAUUGUUCUCCAUCUCGGAGGGAUGGGAUUAGCAGGAAGAAAGAGACAGAAUUGCGCGAUUUAUGUUGCUCGUAUCUUAAAGAGCUUGGCAUGAGGCUUGAAUUGUAAGUUGAGAUCAUACUUGUAUUGAUAGCGUCUCAGAUUAGUUAUGGAAACUUUAUCGUUUCUCUGACUGUAUGUUGGAUUUGUGUAAGUUGGAUUUAUCAAUUGUGAAAUAUAUGUGGCUGAGAGUUUCACCAAUUGAUAAAGAUGUAAGUAGCAGCAUAUCCCCUUUGAUUCUCUUUUGUAGUUAUGUAUUUGUUUCCUGUUAUAAAUCCUCUCUCUCUCUCUCUCUCUCUCUCUCACAGAUUCAUUUGUUAAUUCUAUCGAAACAUUUCAUUACUUGUUUUCAUGUUUUGUGUCUUUUUUCUUUCCACACAGCUUUUUUAUUUAAAUAUGGUGUUACUAAGUUAAUUGUUUUACUACUUAAGAUAGAAUUGAGUUGGGUGCUCUCAGUUUGUUUUACUACUUAAGUAGCUAGUUCUCCUAAUUAGUAUGUACCAAUGCAUUCAUCGAGCCCCUUAUGGGUCUUCCUCUGUUUGUUAUUUCAAUUUUAACAAGAAGUCCAUGCAAGCAGAAAGAACUGCCUUAGUGUAUUUGUGGCUGCCUUAAUAUUAUUCUAUUACAUGUUAAUUUUUAUAUGGGAUUCACCAUUGAGAGCUUUAACCUCAAAAGGUCGAAUAUCAAUGUGGGAGAAUUGGUUGGUCAAAUAUCAGCUAUUUUGGGAAUAUGUUGGUUUCUAGUUGAUAUAUGGUUCCUAAGGGGCAUGUUGGAUUCAGGGAGACAACACUUAGUCCUCCUUUGAUUCACUGUCAUAUGGACAUGUGCCUUACAGUCUUACUCAAGGCAGAGUGUUUUUCAGGAUAGAAGCAAUAGUGCAAGAAGCUGCUCAAGGAACCAUAUCUAGCAGUGAUGCUCUUAAUCUACGAUUAGAGAAUCAGGUUAACAAUGGUACAUCAUCACAAUCACAAGGAGGUUCACUUCCUAUCCCUACUGCAUUGAAGAACUUUUCAAUGUCCCAGAAGGAAAAAACUCUUGAUGAAUUUGUACGGGAUAAAUGGCUUUCCUUCACUGCACAUUUUCUAUGUUGGACUUGGUGUUAGAUCCUUCCUUGAUCUGCGAAGUUGGUUUCGCAAUAAUGAUGUUCCUUCAUGCGAAGUGUGCAACGAUGACUGGCGUGAAGGCAGUGUUAUGCCAGAAAGAGGGUUGUUUGGUUCGGAUUCAUCAGUACUGCCUAGGAAAACUGUUUGCUAAGAAAAAGGGUGAAAGAGUUUGUCCAAGUUGUGGUACUCAAUGGCAAUAUACAGGACCAAAAGCAGAACCUGUAGAAGAUGAUGAGCCAGAUUGCGCUACUCAGAGCCAACCACCUGUGGAACCCAAGAGAAAGAAGCUGAGAACAAGCCGAAUUGGUGAUGUCCCAAGUAGAUGGGCAUGCACUAGAAUGCUUUUCUUGUGUAAAAUGUUGGUUUCAAUGAUUGGGAAAUGCACCCAUUUUGCUUUUGAAGUUUAAAGUAAUGGUUAUAUGAAUCAUUUGAUGGUUUGCAAUGUUUGUA